rnacentral:lncRNA from 1 species
UGCGGCCAAGGGAUUCGAACGCUGGACCUCCAGCCUCAGUCCACAGAUCGCUUACCACUCAGACUAUGAGGAAUUGUUGUAUAGGAGACAUCCGCAGUCCUAUUUAAUAAGGGCAAAGAAGGAAAACUCCCCCCUAAUUAAUCACUCUUUGGCACUCCUUGGUAAGCGUAAUCCUGUCCUAAACGACUUCUAAUUGCGAUACGGAGGGAGUA